rnacentral:rRNA from 1 species
GUAGGUGGCAAGCGUUGUCCGGAAUUAUUGGGCGUAAAGCGCGCGCAGGCGGUUCUUUAAGUCUGAUGUGAAAGCCCACGGCUCAACCGUGGAGGGUCAUUGGAAACUGGAGAACUUGAGUACAGAAGAGGAAAGCGGAAUUCCACGUGUAGCGGUGAAAUGCGUAGAGAUGUGGAGGAACACCAGUGGCGAAGGCGGCUUUCUGGUCUGUAACUGACGCUGAGGCGCGAAAGCGUGGGGGAGCAAACAGGAUUAGAUACCCUGGUAGUCCACGCCGUAAACGAUGAGUGCUAAGUGUUAGGGGGUUUUCCGCCCCCUUAGUGCUGCAGCUAACGCAUUAAGCACUCCGCCCUGGGAGUACGGCCGCAAGGCUG